rnacentral:rRNA from 1 species
AACGAACGCUGGCGGCAGGCUUAACACAUGCAAGUCGAACGGGCGCAGCAAUGCGUCAGUGGCAGACGGGUGAGUAACACGUGGGAACCUUCCUUAAGGUACGGGACAACUCAGGGAAACUUGAGCUAAUACCGUAUACGUCCGUGAGGAGAAAGAUUUAUCGCCUUUAGACGGGCCCGCGUCGGAUUAGCUAGUUGGUGGGGUAACGGCCUACCAAGGCGACGAUCCGUAGCUGAUCUGAGAGGAUGAUCAGCCACACUGGGACUGAGACACGGCCCAGACUCCUACGGGAGGCAGCAGUGGGGAAUCUUGGACAAUGGGCGCAAGCCUGAUCCAGCCAUGCCGCGUGAGUGAAGAAGGCCUUAGGGUUGUAAAGCUCUUUUACCAGGGACGAUAAUGACGGUACCUGGAGAAUAAGCCCCGGCAAACUUCGUGCCAGCCGCCGCAGUAAU